rnacentral:tRNA from 1 species
GUCAGAAUGGCCGAGUGGUCUAAGGCGCCAGACUCAAGGUUAAACAUUCUCACUUGUUGAGGCUUCUGCACACCGAAUGGAGGCGUGGGUUCAAAUCCCACUUCUGACA